rnacentral:other from 1 species
AAGGCGCUGCGGGGCCCGCGACGCGUAUUAUCUCCAGGGCCAAUAACUACCAAUCGGGAGCUGUCCCUGCCGGGCUCUUGGGCCAGGUAUAUGGCGCCCACCUAGACCUGUCGGCCUAGGAAGAUUUUGGUGCUGAACGACCCACGCGGCGUCCCC